rnacentral:rRNA from 1 species
ACCUGAAACCGUGUACGUACAAGCAGUGGGAGCACGCUUAGGCGUGUGACUGCGUACCUUUUGUAUAAUGGGUCAGCGACUUAUAUUCUGUAGCAAGGUUAACCGAAUAGGGGAGCCGAAGGGAAACCGAGUCUUAACUGGGCGUUAAGUUGCAGGGUAUAGACCCGAAACCCGGUGAUCUAGCCAUGGGCAGGUUGAAGGUUGGGUAACACUAACUGGAGGACCGAACCGACUAAUGUUGAAAAAUUAGCGGAUGACUUGUGGCUGGGGGUGAAAGGCCAAUCAAACCGGGAGAUAGCUGGUUCUCCCCGAAAGCUAUUUAGGUAGCGCCUCGUGAAUUCAUCUCCGGGGGUAGAGCACUGUUUCGGCAAGGGGGUCAUCCCGACUUACCAACCCGAUGCAAACUGCGAAUACCGGAGAAUGUUAUCACGGGAGACACACGGCGGGUGCUAACGUCCGUCGUGAAGAGGGAAACAACCCAGACCGCCAGCUAAGGUCCCAAAGUCAUGGUUAAGUGGGAAACGAUGUGGGAAGGCCCAGACAGCCAGGAUGUUGGCUUAGAAGCAGCCAUCAUUUAAAGAAAGCGUAAUAGCUCACUGGUCGAGUCGGCCUGCGCGGAAGAUGUAACGGGGCUAAACCAUGCACCGAAGCUGCGGCAGCGACGCUUAUGCGUUGUUGGGUAGGGGAGCGUUCUGUAAGCCUGUGAAGGUGUGCUGUGAGGCAUGCUGGAGGUAUCAGAAGUGCGAAUGCUGACAUAAGUAACGAUAAAGCGGGUGAAAAGCCCGCUCGCCGGAAGACCAAGGGUUCCUGUCCAACGUUAAUCGGGGCAGGGUGAGUCGACCCCUAAGGCGAGGCCGAAAGGCGUAGUCGAUGGGAAACAGGUUAAUAUUCCUGUACUUGGUGUUACUGCGAAGGGGGGACGGAGAAGGCUAUGUUGGCCGGGCGACGGUUGUCCCGGUUUAAGCGUGUAGGCUGGUUUUCCAGGCAAAUCCGGAAAAUCAAGGCUGAGGCGUGAUGACGAGGCACUACGGUGCUGAAGCAACAAAUGCCCUGCUUCCAGGAAAAGCCUCUAAGCAUCAGGUAACAUCAAAUCGUACCCCAAACCGACACAGGUGGUCAGGUAGAGAAUACCAAGGCGCUUGAGAGAACUCGGGUGAAGGAACUAGGCAAAAUGGUGCCGUAACUUCGGGAGAAGGCACGCUGAUAUGUAGGUGAAGUCCCUUGCGGAUGGAGCUGAAAUCAGUCGAAGAUACCAGCUGGCUGCAACUGUUUAUUAAAAACACAGCACUGUGCAAACACGAAAGUGGACGUAUACGGUGUGACGCCUGCCCGGUGCCGGAAGGUUAAUUGAUGGGGUCAGCGCAAGCGAAGCUCUUGAUCGAAGCCCCGGUAAACGGCGGCCGUAACUAUAACGGUCCUAAGGUAGCGAAAUUCCUUGUCGGGUAAGUUCCGACCUGCACGAAUGGCGUAAUGAUGGCCAGGCUGUCUCCACCCGAGACUCAGUGAAAUUGAACUCGCUGUGAAGAUGCAGUGUACCCGCGGCAAGACGGAAAGACCCCGUGAACCUUUACUAUAGCUUGACACUGAACAUUGAGCCUUGAUGUGUAGGAUAGGUGGGAGGCUUAGAAGUGUGGACGCCAGUCUGCAUGGAGCCGACCUUGAAAUACCACCCUUUAAUGUUUGAUGUUCUAACGUUGACCCGUAAUCCGGGUUGCGGACAGUGUCUGGUGGGUAGUUUGACUGGGGCGGUCUCCUCCUAAAGAGUAACGGAGGAGCACGAAGGUUGGCUAAUCCUGGUCGGACAUCAGGAGGUUAGUGCAAUGGCAUAAGCCAGCUUGACUGCGAGCGUGACGGCGCGAGCAGGUGCGAAAGCAGGUCAUAGUGAUCCGGUGGUUCUGAAUGGAAGGGCCAUCGCUCAACGGAUAAAAGGUACUCCGGGGAUAACAGGCUGAUACCGCCCAAGAGUUCAUAUCGACGGCGGUGUUUGGCACCUCGAUGUCGGCUCAUCACAUCCUGGGGCUGAAGUAGGUCCCAAGGGUAUGGCUGUUCGCCAUUUAAAGUGGUACGCGAGCUGGGUUUAGAACGUCGUGAGACAGUUCGGUCCCUAUCUGCCGUGGGCGCUGGAGAACUGAGGGGGGCUGCUCCUAGUACGAGAGGACCGGAGUGGACGCAUCACUGGUGUUCGGGUUGUCAUGCCAAUGGCACUGCCCGGUAGCUAAAUGCGGAAGAGAUAAGUGCUGAAAGCAUCUAAGCACGAAACUUGCCCCGAGAUGAGUUCUCCCUGACCCCUUAAGAGUCCUGAAGGAACGUUGAAGACGACGACGUUGAUAGGCCGGGUGUGUAAGCGCAGCGAUGCGUUGAGCUAACCGGUACUAAUGAACCGUGAGGCUUAACCUU